rnacentral:rRNA from 1 species
GAUAGGGGUGAAAGGCCAAUCAAACCCGGAGAUAUCUCGUUCUCCCCGAAAUAGCUUUAGGGCUAGCGUCGCGCGUUCACCGCCGGAGGUAGAGCACCGGAUGGACGAGGGGGCUUCGCCGCCUACCGAAUCCAACCGAACUCCGAAUGCCGGCGGCCCAGAGCGCGGCAGUCAGAGCAUGUGGGCUAAGCUGUGUGCUCGAGAGGGAAACAGCCCGGACCGCCCGCUAAGGUCCCCAAGUUCCAGCCGAGUGGCAAAGGAUGUGCGUCCGCCCAGACAACCAGGAUGUUGGCUUAGAAGCAGCCAUCCAUUCAAAGAGUGCGUAACAGCUCACUGGUCGAGUGGACAUGCGCCGACAAUACACGGGGCUAAGCUGGACACCGAAGCGGCGGGAUUUUAAUUCAUUAGAAUCGGUAGGGGAGCUUCCCAUGGGCGGAGAAGCCGGAGGGCGACCGACGGUGGAGCGCAUGGGAGUGAGAAUGCUGGCAUGAGUAGCGAGAGACGAGAGAGUAACUCGUCCGCCGUGAACCCGAGGUUUCCUGGGCAAGGCUAAUCCUCCCAGGGUCAGUCGGGGGCUAAGGCGAGGCCGGUAGGCGUAGCCGACGCGCAGCAGGCAGACAUUCCUGCACCGCGCACGCGGCGCUACGACCGACGGGGCGACGGAUGGGGGUGGCUCGGCGGGGUUCUGGACGUCCCCGUGAUGGAGCGCGGCCCGCGGACCAGGGAAAUCCGGUCCGCAUUGAGGGCGAGGCUCCGGACGAAGCACUUAAGCGAAGCGAGUGAGCCCGAGGUCCCUAGAAAAACCCCUAGGCAGGCGCGUGCGCGCCCGUACCGCAAACCGACACAGGUGGGUGGGUAGAACAUACCGAGGCGAUCGGGUCAACCAUGGUCAAGGAACUCGGCACAAUGGCCCCGUAACUUCGGGAGAAGGGGUGCCCGCGCGUACGUGAACCGGCUUGCCCGGGGAGCGGAGGCGGGCCGCAGUGGAGAGGCCCAAGCGACUGUUUACCAAAAACACAGGACUCUGCAGAAGCCGCAAGGCGACGUAUAGGGUCUGACGCCUGCCCGGUGCCGGAAGGUCACGCGGAGGAGUUAGCCGAUUCGGCGAAGCCCCGAAGCCAAGCCCCGGUAAACGGCGGCCGUAACUAUAACGGUCCUAAGGUAGCGAAAUUCCUUGUCGGGUAAGUUCCGACCUGCACGAAAGGCGCAACGACUUGGGCGCUGUCUCGACCAUGGACCCGGUGAAAUUGCACUGGUCGUGAAGAUGCGACUUACCCGCGGAAGGACGGAAAGACCCCGUGAACCUUCACUGCAGCUUGGCAUUGGCCGCUGGUCCCGCGUGUAGAGGAUAGGCAGGAGGCUAAGAUCCGGAGGCGCCAGCCCCCGGGGAGCCGCCCUUGGAAUACUGCCCUCGCGCGACCGGCGUCCUAACCCGAGGCCGUCAACCGGCUCGGGGACCGUGCCAGGCGGGCAGUUUGACUGGGGCGGUCGCCUCCUAAAGGGUAACGGAGGCGCGCGAAGGUCCGCUCGGGACGGUCGGCAACCGUCCUUUUGAAUGCAAGAGUACAAGCGGGCUUGACUGCGAGGCCCACAAGCCGAGCAGGUGCGAAAGCAGGCUCUAGUGAUCCGGCGGCCCCGAGUGGGUGGGCCGUCGCUCAACGGAUAAAAGGUACUCCGGGGAUAACAGGCUGAUCUUGCCCAAGAGUCCACAUCGACGGCAAGGUUUGGCACCUCGAUGUCGGCUCAUCGCAUCCUGGGGCUGAAGUCGGUCCCAAGGGUUGGGCUGUUCGCCCAUUAAAGCGGUACGCGAGCUGGGUUCAGAACGUCGUGAGACAGUUCGGUCCCUAUCCUCCGUGGGCGCAGGAGAAUCGAUGGAGGCUGCCCCCAGUACGAGAGGACCGGGGUGGACGCACCUCCGGUGAACCGGUUGUCGACCAACGGCACGGCCGGGUAGCCGCGUGCGGCGCGGAUAACCGCUGAAGGCAUCUAAGCGGGAAGCCGUUCCAGGGAUUAGUUCU